rnacentral:pre_miRNA from 1 species
AAAAUACUCCCUCCGUUCGGAAUUACUUGUCGCGAAAAUGGAUGUAUCUAGAACUAAAAUACGUCUAGAUACAUCCAUUUCCGCGACAAGUAAUUCCGAACGGAGGGAGUAGCUG